rfam:Schistosoma mansoni strain Puerto Rico chromosome 3, complete genome
GCACUGCUGACGAGUCCCAUAAAGGGACGAAACAGCCGUCCAGUGC